rnacentral:rRNA from 1 species
GAGGACGGACCGAGCCACACUGGGACUGAGACACGGCCCAGACUCCUACGGAAGGCAGCAG